CCUACGGGAGGCAGCAGUGGGGGAUAUUGCACAAUGGGGGAAACCCUGAUGCAGCGACGCCGCGUGUGGGAAGACGGUCCUCUGGAUUGUAAACCACUGUCCCCAGGGACGAAGAUGCCGGUACCUGGGGCGGUAGCUCUGGCCAACUACGUGCCAGCAGCCGCGGUAAUACGUAGGGAGCGAGGGUUGUCCGGAAUUACUGGGUGUAAGGGGAGCGUAGGCGGGGAUGCAAGUUGGGUGUCAAAACUACCGGCUCAACUGGUAGUCGCACUCAAAACUGCAGCUCUGGAGUGAAGUAGAGGCAGGCGGAAUGCCUAGUGUAGCGGUGAAAUGCGUAGAUAUUAGGAGGAACACCAGUGGCGAAGGCAGCCUGCUGGGCUAUGACUGACGCUGAGGCUCGAAAGUGUGGGGAGCAAACAGGAUUAGAUACCCUAGUAGUC
rnacentral:rRNA from 1 species